GUAGAGUUGGCGAACCUUUCCUAUAAUUUAUAUGAAAAUAUUAUAAUAUCAAAGUGUUUGCUUUCAUUUUGGUGUACUUGAAUUUUCAAAUUUUAAAGCUCUUUGGAAUUUCGAAAAUAGCCGCUAGAUUGUGAACAGACUUGAUAUUUAUCGUGACCGUUUCACAUCAUAAAUAUGAUCAUAUUAUAUCCCAUCUGUACAAAUUUUAUCGAAAUCCAUUCAGUAGUUUGUAUUUAUUUCUUCGUUUAUAUUUGGAUGGUUGGUUCUUGUUGUUACGUCUUACACGGCAAAUAUGGCACUAUGAAUACGGAAUUAUUGCUUAAUCAUAAAAUAAGACAGAACAUUUUAUUUAUUAAAAUCACUGAGGUUUUAUUUAAUUUCGAUUCAAAUAAGAAAUACAGACAAGUUACUUUUUAAUAAUUCGUAGAAUUGAUUUGUUUUCGUCCUUCUUAAUUCAUCAAGAAAUGGUCAAA
rnacentral:lncRNA from 1 species